rnacentral:other from 1 species
AGACCCCUGCCGUGCUCGUGAUCGGCAGAAGUUUUUUGAGCCAACACUUAAUUAUAUGGGAACCUUCUCUUGCUUUGGUGUGCAUGUUCUGUAGCUCACAGAAAAGCCUAAAGGAGCAACAAGGUACCCACCUGUACUAUACAGGUUCAAAAGAAUCUACUGACACGGCAUUGUGGUGGGGGUACC